AAGGCAAGUUUGACAAGAAACUCCAGUUCUCUUCCGAUCACUGAAGUCAAGCAACGUCAGUCCCGCUUAGUAUGAACAUCGACGAGCACCUGGGAAUACCCUGUUAUCAUUGCU
rnacentral:rRNA from 1 species